GACGGAGGAUGCAAGCGUUAUCCGGAAUUAUUGGGCGUAAAGCGUCCGCAGGUGGCUACUCAAGUCUGUUGUCAAAGCGCGGGGCUUAACUCCGUAAAGGCAAUGGAAACUGGGUGGCUAGAGUAUGGUAGGGGUAGAGGGAAUUCCCGGUGUAGCGGUGAAAUGCGUAGAUAUCGGGAAGAACACCAGUGGCGAAAGCGCUCUGCUGGACCAUAACUGACACUGAGGGACGAAAGCUAGGGGAGCGAAAGGG
rnacentral:rRNA from 1 species